rnacentral:lncRNA from 1 species
AUCACUCUCUCCUGCUGCCACGUGAAGAAGAUAUUUGCUUCCCCUUUGCCUUCCACCAUGAUUGUAAGUUUCCUGAGGCCUCCCAUUCAUGCUUCCUGUUAAGCCUGCAGAACCAGAUGGCCUGGAUUCUGCCAUGUAAAUCAAAGAAGAGAGGGCCUAACUCAGCUGCCUAGCCUGGAUCACCUGGAACCCAUUAGGAUACAGGAUCAUAAACACCUCUAUUUUCCCUUCAGAGAGAGACCAGAACCACUGGAGUUAAGCUACCUGCAUAAGAGUUGAGUGCGAUCAGCUGUACUUAAUCUUUAAAUGUCCAACCCACUGAUAACCUUUGGUUUGCUUUGAUAACUAUGAAAUAAAUUCUCACUGCAUUGGA